UUGCUUCAGUAGCAUAUGUACUAAAAUUGGAAAAAUACAGAGAAGAUUAGCAUGGCUUCUGCACAAGUAUGACAUGCAAAUUCAUGAAGCAUACUAUAUUUUU
ensembl:snRNA U6 U6 spliceosomal RNA